CCCUCCCCCCAAGGGACCCCCUGAUCAGCCAUGCCGCGUGGGUGAGGAAGGCCUUAUGGGUUGUAAAGCCCUUUCUUCGGGGAAGAUGAUGACCGGACCCUCAGAAAAAGCCCCGGCUUACUCCGUGGCAACAGCCCCGGUCAUACCGAGGGGGCUAGCGUUGUUCGGAAUUACUGGGGGUAAAGGGGUCCUAAGCGGACCCCCGAAUCCGGGGUGAAAGGCCCGGACUCAACCUGGGAACGGCCCUUGAAACUUACGGUCUUGAGUCCGGUAGAGGAUAUCGGAAUUCCCAGUGUAAAGGUGAAUUUGGUUUAUAUUGGGAAGAACCCCCUUGGCGAAAGGGGCUCUCUGGACCGGCGCUGAAGCUUAGGCGCGGAACGGCGGGGAACAAACAGGAUUUAAAACCCUGGUAGUCCAUGGCUUAAACGAUGUGAGCUAGCCGGUGGGCAACAUAGUCGCUCUGGGGGGCAAAUCACGCAUUAAGCACAUCCCCUGUGAAGAGCUGCCACUGGGCUGACACUCUCAUGAAUUUACAGAGAUGAAACUUAAAGGAAUUGACGG
rnacentral:rRNA from 1 species